GACAGGGGGUGCAAGCGUUGCUCGGAAUCACUGGGCGUAAAGCGCGCGUAGGCGGUCUCGUAAGUCGGGUGUGAAAGCCCUCAGCCUAACUGAGGAACUGCGCCCGAUACUGCGAGGCUAGAGGAUGGGAGGGGAGAGUGGAAUUCCUGGUGGAGCGGUGAAAUGCGUAGAUAUCAGGAGGAACACCAGUGGCGAAGGCGACUCUCUGGUCCAUUCCUGACGCUGAGGUGCGAAAGCUAGGGGAGCAAACGGG
rnacentral:rRNA from 1 species